rnacentral:lncRNA from 1 species
CCCACCAACAAGCGAGAGCCACGUGGCUACAUAAACUAGACAAAGUCUCUUCCUGCAACUAUUCAACAACAACAAAUAGCCAUCCUGACGUUGAUCGAUUCUCUGGAGGAGCAAUUACUACUUAACAGGCUUCCUGAGCAGCUUGAUUAUGUUCUGCUUCUGUCCAAGGCCUUGCUGACCAUGCGGGUAAUAAUUUGAUAACAAGAGAGCUUAAUUUAAUUAAGGGGCCAUUUUCUACAUCAUAAUAUCUUUGUAGGUAAGAGAUUUGAUUUGCAGUACAUACCCUUCCUUCUCUCUGCUGUCUGCAUUUGUCUGGUUUACAAGCAAAAAAAGAAAACAUUACCCAACCUCCACUCGAAAAGACUUUCACAUUUCAUACAGCAUUUUCAAAAAGCAGCUUUGCUAAAAAUAAACAUACAUCUUACCUCUCUCCCACCCCAUAACCACAAGUGAGUUGUAGCUCUUGCUUUCUCAGAGGCAAGGGGGACUUUCUGUUUGUGCAAGGGUGAAUAUAAGGCAGUGAUCACGUAUAGAUCACGCUGUCUUCAACGCUCACUUUCUUUAGAUAACAGGGUGCAAUUCAGUGUGCACGGCUCUAACCUGCAUUGCUGACCUUGGGCAAUCCCCAGCUACAUGCAAGCAUCCUACUCCUGCAGUGGCCCACAAGCACUGGGCCCUCAGAGAACAGGAGCCUUCCAGAUAACUGAGCUGCAGCAUACAAAGCAUUAGAUGACAUAAUACUUCAUUACAAGAAAAAAAAAAAAACAUAUAAACAAAUGGAGGCUCUGACUGGUAACACUGGGAAAGCCACGGUGCUUCAACUCACAAAAAGCUGUAGACAAAAGCUCUCUGGGGAAGGGGGGCUAUUCGGAGAGCUCCGUGCUGCUGUGCCGCGCAGCGCCAAGGCGCUCUGUCAUAUAAUAAUUGGUCCUGACCACACCUAGUGCAUUAGUCCUCAUGUGGGCUGCAAAUACAACCUCAUUACUCCUGGCUCCUGGAUGAGCAGAUCAGAAGGGGAUCAAACUACAGCACAAACCAGAAGCCAGAAAUUCAAGGGACAGCAGCACAACAAAACCAGGGAGAAACAGGAACUUUUCGAAGCAGAUCCCAUCAUCUACCUGGAGCAGGGAGCAGCACGGCUGCAGCCAUCCCCAGACAGCCUACCUGCACUGCAGUACUGUGGGGAACGAUGCCGGACUCCUUUGCAAUCCACUUCCUCAAGGUUCUGCGGGAGCUGCUGGCGUUUGUGCUGUUCAGCUACACCGUGCUGGUGGGAGCACUGCUGCUUGCUGGCUGGACGACGUAUUUCUUGGUGCUCAAAUGACAACUCCUUCCCCGCUCCUGCAGUCCUUGGCUGGCCAGAAGCACCUGGCUCCACUGCACAGCUCGUCCCACACAUCUGCUCAGCACACAGGAUGGCACCUCCUUCCUCCUGCACCAACUCUGCAAGCAUUUUGUUCCAUUACCACCUCAUCAUAAUUUUAUUUUCAUAUGUAAAAAAGAAAGAUUAAAACAAAUACUAUCUACAUGCACGCACCAUUCUGUGUGGCUCUUUCCAGUUCUGC